UACAUUCACUACUGUAAGUCGCUCUGGAUAAGUGCGUCUGCUAAAAUGACCAAAA
rfam:Salmo salar isolate Sally breed double haploid chromosome ssa11, whole genome shotgun sequence.